UACGUAGGUGGCGAGCGUUAUCCGGAUUUACUGGGUGUAAAGGGCGUGUAGGCGGGUUUGCAAGUCGGAUGUGAAAUCCCCAGGCUUAACCUGGGCAGGUCAUCCGAAACUGCAGAUCUUGAGUACUGGAGAGGAUAGUGGAAUUCCUAGUGUAGCGGUAAAAUGCGUAGAUAUUAGGAGGAACACCAGUGGCGAAGGCGGCUAUCUGGACAGUAACUGACGCUGAGGCGCGAAAGCGUGGGGAGCAAAC
rnacentral:rRNA from 1 species